AUUGAACGCUGGCGGAAUGCUUUACACAUGCAAGUCGAACGGUAGAGGGGGCAACCCCUUGAGAGUGGCGAACGGGUGAGUAAUAUAUCGGAACGUGCCCAGUCGUGGGGAUAACGUAGCGAAAGUUACGCUAAUACCGCAUACGAUCUACGGAUGAAAGCGGGGGACUCGCAAGAGCCUCGCGCGAUUGGAGCGGCCGAUAUCAGAUUAGGUAGUUGGUGGGGUAAAGGCUCACCAAGCCAACGAUCUGUAGCUGGUCUGAGAGGACGACCAGCCACACUGGAACUGAGACACGGUCCAGACUCCUACGGGAGGCAGCAGUGGGGAAUUUUGGACAAUGGACGCAAGUCUGAUCCAGCCAUUCCGCGUGCAGGAUGAAGGCCCUCGGGUUGUAAACUGCUUUUGUACGGAACGAAACGGUGAGCUCUAAUACAGUUUGCUAAUGACGGUACCGUAAGAAUAAGCAACCGGCUAACUACGU
rnacentral:rRNA from 1 species